GAGCCUUGGACGGGGAAGCGGAAAAGGCUUAGCAGCUACUAAUGGGUUCUAUUAAUAGUAGUAGUGUUAGAAGCUGACAAUGACUGUUGGGCUUUUCCAAUGAAUACCAGAACACCAUUUCCUGCAGCCUGAAAAGAAGACAGUAUAAUUGUUUGGCAGCAAGAGACAGGAUCUCGCUGCGUUGCUCAGACUGGUCUCGAACUCCUGGGCUUAAGGGAUUCUCCUGCCUCAAUCACAGCCUCCCAAGUAGCUGAGAUUAAAAGUGCUCACCACCGUGCCAGCGAGUUCAGUUUUUGAGAUCUGUCCCAUUCCACCAAGGAUUUAAGGCUAAAGAUUUAAGUUGUGAAGAUGAUAAUGGAUUGACUCUAUGAAUGGCCACAUUUUUUUAUGCCUCCCUUUUCCCUUGUCCUCGGGCAGUGUCCUCCGACACUGACUCUGUGCUUGGCCCUGUGACUUGCUUUGGCCAAUGGUACAGCAGCAAACUUGAUGCAAACACAACUUGAAAAAGAAGAGGACAGCCAAGUCAUCCCAGCCAAGGCCACCCUGGACCAGCCAGCCUCUUGCCAAGCUGCCAGUGACCACAGAGUCCAAUUAACAACAGCCAGUCCUGGCCCAGGUCAGCACACCCAUGAGAAAGAACUUGCUAUCAUUUAAAGCCAUGGGUUUGGGGGUGGUUUGUUGCACAGCAAUAACUAACUAAUACAGAAACUUACAUUCUACAAAAAUGCUAUUAAUCAACAAGCAUAUUAAGAUGCAAUCUCGGCCUGGUGCAGUGGCUCACACCUGUAAACCCAGUACUUUGGGAGUCGGAGGCGGGUGGAUCACCUGAUGUCAGGAGUUCGAGACCAGCCUGGCCAACAUGGCAAAACCCGGUCUCUACUAAAAAUACAAAAAUUAGCUGCACAUGGUGGUGGCCG
rnacentral:lncRNA from 1 species